CACUUCAAAAUUUUUAUUUCUAAUGUAUCUGAUAGAUUUUUCUAGAAUUUUUCUUUUAAAGUUCCGCUCUUUUCAGGUUCUUAUCCAAUGUAAAUUAGUUUUUCACCCCAUGUAUGUUAUAGUUUUUUUUCUCCUCUUUGUGUAACUUAUAAGUGAUUAUUUUCAGUCGUUAUUCUUGUACUGUGUUUCAAUUGCUUUUAAUGUCGUUAACGUUUACUUUUUCCAAUUUUAAUUUUUCUAUGUUUUUUUUGGAACUUUAAAUUGCUUGUUAUUAAUCCUGUCUCUAGUUUAUACUAAGCUUUGUAGGACAAAUUUCUGCUCAAUAAACCGACAAAUCGAGAACAACCUGACGAAGUGAGAUGUUUGAUGUUUGGAAUCUGCCGGACUGAGAUGAAUCCAUUUUCUUUUAAAUUGCCUGCUAUGAAAUGAUGAAGCUAAAAAGGAUGAUUUUUUGAUAAUUGAAUCUUCAGCUUGUAUGCAGGACAAGAUGUGGCUUUCAUUUGCAAGAUAGGGCAGAGUUAUGACGUUAAUUAAGCAGCAUAAUGUGUUGCAACAUGGUUCUGAUAUGAUAGCCUAAGUGACAGACUUGCGCCACCUUUUAGAUUAUUCUAGACUUUCUUCUAAGCUUGUUUUAACGCCAUAGGAAGCUGGCAGCUCUCCACUAUCUCGAUCAAUAGCUCCAGAAAGGUCUACAGACACGAAAAGCGUGCAUUUAAGAGGCCUAGUUUCGAUAUACCUUUCUCCAACUUAUACCAACAAAAACGAUGUUAAAGUUGAUGCAAAUCCUACCGAAUGAUGAUGGGGAAAUUCGUUUGUCGGUAGCUGAAAUAUCCAUUAUGAAAAAGAUUCUAACGAUCCAUCUGUUAGUUUCAUCUCAAGAAGUUAAAGUUUUGCGAAAGAUCGUAAUCAAUGUUUGCGUAAUCACCGCAUGGUGUCUAAAAGUUGUCAAAUGAAGCUGUUUUCCACCAUUUACUCACCUGAUGUGUUUUGCAAAAAUGAUUAUAACUGAACUCACAAUAAUGCUGCUGAAGCCGGAACAAUGGAGGCCAGAAAAUGUCAAGCAGUUGUAUGUCAUGUGUCACACCUACGAAGGCAAAUAUUCAGAAUUGUCCAAUAUCUGUGGUUCCAUAUCAAUCGAUCAGGCUAUCAUAUUUUGCCGGAAAAGAAGACCUGCAGCUUGGUUGGGAGCCAACUGACUGCUGAUAGACAUUCCGCUGGUGAUUUAUCCGGAGAAUUAGAGCUCAAUCUAUGACUGGAUGACCUGACUCGCUUCAGAGAUGGAAAAGAAAAGAUAUUUUGUGGAACCAUAUAAGGUUCGUCUAGUGUAGAAGGAAAGAGGUGUGAUAUUGUUUUUAUGAUUGAAAUUGAAAAAAAAUAUGAAAAAUGCAAAUAAAG